CAGCCCUUGACAUUUAACGCUCGCCACAGAGAUGUGGUUUUCCCUUCGGGGACGUUAGGACAGGUGCUGCAUGGCUGUCGUCAGCUCGUGUCGUGAGAUGUUGGGUUAAGUCCCGCAACGAGCGCAACCCUCGCCCUUAGUUGCCAGCAUUAGGUUGGGCACUCUAAGGGGACUGCCGGUGAUAAGCCGAGAGGAAGGUGGGGAUGACGUCAAGUCCUCAUGGCCCUUACGGGCUGGGCUACACACGUGCUACAAUGGUGGUGACAGUGGGCAGCGAGCACGCGAGUGUGAGCUAAUCUCCAAAAGCCAUCUCAGUUCGGAUUGCACUCUGCAACUCGAGUGCAUGAAGUUGGAAUCGCUAGUAAUCGCGGAUCAGCAUGCCGCGGUGAAUACGUUCCC
rnacentral:rRNA from 1 species